rnacentral:rRNA from 1 species
AUUGAACGCUGGCGGCAGGCCUAAUACAUGCAAGUAGAACGAGUGGCGGACGGGUGAGACAUGUCUGGGAACCUGCUUGAUGGGGGGGGAUAACUACUGGAACCGGUAGCUAAUACCGCAUACCAUCAGUUGUGCCCAGAUGGGAUUUGCUUGUGGGUGGGGUAACGGCUCACCAAGUCGACGAUCCCUAGCUGGUCUGAGAGGAUGACCAGCCACAAGGGAACUGAGACACGGCCCAGACUCAUACGGAGGGAAGCAUAGGGGAAGAUUGGACAAUGGGCGCAAGCUGGAUGCAGCCAGGCCGGUUGUAGGAAGAAGGCUUUCGGGUUUUAAAGUACUUUCAGAGGGGAGGCGUUACCCGCAGAAGAAGCGCCGGCUAACUCCGUGCCAGCCGCCGCGGUAAUAC